rnacentral:lncRNA from 1 species
AGGAUGGGAGGGAUAGGUAGGCGUAAUAUAUGAGGAAUCGAGGAUGGCCAUCAUUCAUGCGAUAUGAAGAUGGAUGGCUGACUUGAUACCCUCUCUUGAUCCCUGUGCGUCUUGAGCUUUUCAGUGAGAACGGCGUGGCAUACCUAAAGUGGCCAAGCAUCAAACUAGCUCGAGUCUUGCAAAUCUAUUUUGGAUAUACAUAGUCCAGCAUCCUGACGUGUAAAGAUCUAAGAAAAAUGCUAAAGAUCACCAAUCAGAUCAUCGCUCUAUUCACGCUAGAGAGUGAUAGGGGCUGCUGGUUGUCAGCUGUCGGAUACCAUUGUGCUCGGAGCUGAUCUGCGAGCAGCUUGGAUGGGCAUUUGCUAUGCUCGACGGGUGCUGCAAGCCAACUGAUGACUCAACUACAGUGAUAAGUUGGAUCCAGAAAAGUCCAAGUAGCCUGGAUGGGGACCACCCCCUGCUUUGAAAUAUUUGGUCGAUGAGCAGAAAUGACCAACAGUGUUGCGGACUGAGUGGCCAUUU